UUAGAUUAUAUUUAUUAAUUUUUUUUAUUUAAAUUUCAAAUUUUAAAAAUAAUUAUAUAAUAAAAAGUUUUAGUAUUGUUUAAAGAAAAAAUAAUUUUAAUAAUAGUUUAAUAGUAUUGUAAAAGAAAAUUGAAAUAAUUUGAAAAAUUUUUAUUUUAAAAGAAAAUUUAAUUUAUUGUACCUUGUGUAUCAGUGUUUAUUAAAUAAAUAAUAUAUAUAAAAAUAUUUUUCUCGAUUUUAAAAGAGUUAAUGUAAUAUUAAAGUUAUUGUAAUAAAAUUAUUUUUAAUAUUACAUUAGAAAUGAAAUGUUAUUCGUUUUUAAAGGUAUCUAGUUUUUCAAGAAAUAAAUUUAAUUUAGAAAUUAUAAAUUUAUUUAAUUUUUAAUUAAAUUAAAUAAUUUAUAAUUUUAAUAUUUUAUGGGAUAAGCUAUAAAAUAAAUUUUUAAAAAUAAUAAAUAUAUUUAAUAAAUAUAUGCUUAGAAUUAGUAAUUGUUAAUAAAUAUGUUAUAAUUUAUUUUAUAAAAAAUAUUAUUUAUUAAAUUUUAAAUAUUUAUUGAAAUAUUAAUUUUAAUUAAUAAAAUUAAAUAAUAAUGAUAAAAUUAGUAUAUUAUAAUGUAAAAAUAAUUUUAAAUGAAAAGUUUAUGUAAAG
rnacentral:rRNA from 1 species